rnacentral:lncRNA from 1 species
GAGUAUACGUGUAUGAUUCCUCCUUCCUAAGAUAAAAGGAGAUUAGUGCUGUAAUCCAACAUGUAUUUAGUGAAAGGAGUUCAAAAUUAUCAUUUGUUUCUUAAUUCUUAAUAAUUUAAAAACAACCCAACUUGCUUGAUAAUUAGUGCUUAAUUAGUUCUUAAUUCUUGGUGCCUAAAGAACCGAAAAACUUUUCUAAAAGUUGGUAAAUGGAUGCGGAUGUGGAUCAUGUGGAUGCCUAAUCUAAUUACAUGGUGAUUCUUCCUUGCUCAGCCCACAUGCCAUGCAUGUGAUGGAAGUGUACAGUGUACGUACAUGUAUCCAGUACACCAGAGUACAAAGCAACCAAAAUAUUCCCACAAAAAAUGAAGCCUUUAAAAGUUAGCACAACUGGAAAAUUAAUCCACAGAUUGAUUUGAAUUUGAUAUGGGCUCAAAACUUGAAAAGCUGUUUUUACUUGUUUAAAAUGUAUGGUAUCCCAAUUUCAUUCACACACAUUUUCAUGGGCGGUGCGAAUCCCAAAAAAUAAUGGGAGGCCUCGGGUGCCAUUUUGUUGAGGGUCUUUUCCCUUCUUCUUUUUCUUUGUUGUCUGUUCUUCCUUUCCCUUUUAUUUCUUUUUGCGGUUGUAAUUUGUGACCAUUUAGUUGCAUAUCUUGCAACAUGGAAGGAAAACAAUUUCAAGCCUAAAUUUUUUACCUAGUUUUUCUCAACCCGUGAAGGGCCUUUGCAUCACACAGUCGUUUUCUUUAGGUUAAAAAUUCAAGGAACCAUUUAAAUAAACUUCACGUUUUAAUGCAUAAAUCCUAUGAUUUAGACUAUCGCUUAUAUAUUUUUUUUUUCUUUUCUUUUGGGCUCUUUUCAUGAGCAGCCCACUUCAAACCAACUUCAUUAGGCCCACUCAAGUUAAAGACAACUGAUUAGCCUUCCUGGCAAUCCCCCCAAAACAACACACCUACCUAACCAACCAAUACAAAUCAAACUAGCCUCCCUUCUUUUUAAGCAACGCAUUUUAGGUUGGGCAUGUGUGAGUGCGCGAAGAAACACCUUCCAC